rnacentral:lncRNA from 1 species
GAAUCCAUGGCUGAAGGAGCUGAUGGAGGAGCCGUGCUGAAGGCCCUGCCUGGUGGAGGAGCUGAUGGAGGCCCUGCCUGGUGGAGGAGCUGAUGGAGGCCCUGCCUGGGGGAGGUGCUGAUGGUGGCCCUGCCUGGUGAAGGAUGUCUUUCCUGGGGCAGAUGGAGCCUGACUCUGAAGACUCUGUCUGAGGAGAGCUGUUGGAGGAGCUGAGACGCUGGAAUAGAUCAACAAGGAUUCCUCAACGUGUUUCUGGAGCGGAGGCGAGCUGAUAAGGGAGCCGUGAAUCUGGAGGAUGACCUCACACUACCAAGAAGGAUUACGUUGGGGCCAGACUUGCGCUGUUUGUUCCAGACCAGGACUCUGGCUGAGGAGAGCUGAUGGAGGAGCCAAGGCUCUGGAGGACGACGUCACGUUACCAACAAGGAUCCUCGUAAAUUUGCAUAAAACCAGGAAUCUGGAUGACUGA